AUUUUCCGUACUCCUCCUCACAAAUUCACAUUGUGUAGCACUGCUCCGCUUUCCGUAUACGGUGCUGCCAAAAUUUGGGUUUCUCUUCCAUUUCUCAAUUCAAUUGCUUUGCUGGUUUAGCCAUUAUUGCGUCAAUGACAGAGUUGUAUUCUCACUGUAUGGAGACCUGAGAAGGGCUCGAUUUCAAUUUCUUAAGGGAUUUAGUUCAAUUUAUAUUCCAUUAAUGUUCGUUCCUUUAUUACCGACUCCCAAAGAAGGUACCAAAUCUGCUUAGGGCUAUUCAAGAAAUUCCUGUGCCUCUGGCUCUUAUGUUAACUGAUUCUACUCAUGCAUUUGAAGAAUAUGGACAAGAGAGAAAAUUUGCUAUGCCUACCAAUCUUGACAUUUUUUCUUAUGCAGCCUACCAUAUUUGAUAGUGCAAAAGAAAAGAUGGUGGCUGCCAAUCAAAGAAAGAAAAUUAUCUUCCUUGAUUUAUGGGAUGGACCCCACAAAUCUCCCCCUCCAGUCCCAUUCACCUGAAGGAGGUAACACCGGAGAUUCUAGUUUGAGCGCAUGCCGACAAGUUCUUUGCAAAGCUCGAACUUGUCUCUUGGUACUACCUUGGUCAACAUAUCUGCAGGAUUUUCACUCGUGUGAAUCUUUUUGACUUGAAGUGAUUCGUUCUCCACUUGCUCACGAAUCCAAUGAUAUCUGACGUCGAUGUGUUUUGUUCUCGCAUGGUACAUGGAGUUUUUGCUCAUGUCUAUUGCACUCUAAUUGUCGUAAUAGACAACAUACUCCAUCUGUCGCAAUCCAAGUUCUUGAAGAAAUCUUUUGAUCCAUAUCAUCUCCUUGCCAGUUUCAGCAGCCGCAAUAUACUCCGCUUUAGUUGUACAUAGUGCGACACACUUUUGCAACUUCGAUUGCCAUGAUAUAGCUCCCCCUGAAAAAGUAAACAAAUAUCCAGUAGUGGGUUUUCUGUCACCUGCCAUAUCAGAAUCUGUAUAGCCCUUCAGAAUUGGAUUUGAUCCUCCAAAACUUAAGUAUUCAUGUGAGCUUCCUCUUAGAUACUUGAGUAUCCAUUUUACAACUUUCCAAUGCUCUUUUCCUGGAUUUUCGAGAAAUCUGCUAACAACACCGACUGCAGGAGCAAUAUCUGGUCGAGUACAUACCAUUGCAUACAUCAAACUUCCGACAGCAGAGGAAUAAGGAAUCUUGGCCAUUCUCUCUUUUUCCUCCGUUGUUGUAGGACACAUCUUCUUGCUCAACUUCAGAUGACCAGGAAGGGGUGUGCGAACCAACUUAACACUUUUCAUAUUGAAGCGCUCCAGUACACGUUCUAUGUACUUCUCCUGUGACAAGUAAAGCUUUCUUUCGUUUCUCGAACGAGUA